rnacentral:rRNA from 1 species
AGAUUGAACGCUGGCGGCAUGCCUUACACAUGCAAGUCGAACGGCAGCACGGGAGCAAUCCUGGUGGCGAGUGGCGAACGGGUGAGUAAUAUAUCGGAACGUGCCCAGUCGUGGGGGAUAACGUAGAGAAAUUUACGCUAAUACCGCAUACGAUCCAAGGAUGAAAGCGGGGGACCGUAAGGCCUCGCGCGACUGGAGCGGCUGAUAUCAGAUUAGCUUGUUGGUGAGGUAAAAGCUCACCAAGGCGACGAUCUGUAGCUGGUUUGAGAGAACGACCAGCCACACUGGGACUGAGACACCGGCCAGACUCCGUACGGGAGGCAGCGAGUGGGGAAUUUUGGACAAG